GCCGGGCAUGGUGGCGGGUGCCUGUAGUCCCAGCUACUUGGGAGGCUGAGGCAGGAGAAUGGCGUGAACCCGGGAGGCAGAGCUUGCAGUGAGCCAAGAUCCCACCACUGCACUCCAGCCUGGGCCACAGAGUGGGACUGCAUCUCAAGAAAAAAAAAAAGAUAUUAAGGGCAUUGAACUGUUUAGGAAAGAGUACAGAUGUUCAUUUACUUGACUUUUUUUUUUUUUUUUUUUUGAGACGGAGUCUCGCUCUGCCGCCCAGGCUGGAGUGCAGUGGCCGGAUUUCAGCUCACUGCAAGCUCUGCCUCCCGGGUUCACGCCAUUCUCCUGCCUCAG
rnacentral:SRP_RNA from 1 species